rnacentral:rRNA from 1 species
GUAGGUGGCAAGCGUUGUCCGGAAUUAUUGGGCGUAAAGCGCGCGCAGGCGGUUCUUUAAGUCUGAUGUGAAAGCCCACGGCUCAACCGUGAAGGGUCAUUGGAAACUGGAGAACUUGAGUACAGAAGAGGAAAGCGGAAUUCCACGUGUAGCGGUGAAAUGCGUAGAGAUGUGGAGGAACACCAGUGGCGAAGGCGGCUUUCUGGUCUGUAACUGACGCUGGGGCGCGAAAGCGUGGGGAGCAAACAGGGAUUAGAUACCCUGGUAGUCCACGCCGUAAACGAUGAGUGCUAAGUGUUAGGGGGUUUCCGCCCCCUUAGUGCUGCAGCUAACGCAUUAAGCACUCCGCCUGGGGAUACGGCCGCAAGGCUG